AUACGGAGGAUCCGAGCGUUAUCCGGAUUUAUUGGGUUUAAAGGGUGCGCAGGCGGGAGAUUAAGUCGGCGGUGAAAUUUUGCAGCUCAACUGUAAAAGUGCCUUCGAAACUGGUUUCCUUGAGUGUAGAUGAAGUAGGCGGAAUUUGUGGUGGAGCGGUGAAAUGCAUAGAUAUCACGAGGAACUCCGAUUGCGCAGGCAGCUUACUAAACUACUACUGACGCUCAGGCACGAAGGCGUGGGGAUCAAACAGGAUUAGAUACCCUGGUAGUCCACGCAGUAAACGAUGAUUACUAGCUGUUUGCGAUACAAUGUAAGCGGCUGAGCGAAAGCGUUAAGUAAUCCACCUGGGGAGUACGUUCGCAAGAAUGAAACUCAAAGGAAUUGACGGGG
rnacentral:rRNA from 1 species